AUGAAAUCUCGACAAAGGAAUGGAUCGGCUGGUGGGAGAUCGCCGGCCCGGCCUCAUGGAAUCCGCAUGAAACGAGGUCAGCCGCAUACCGGCCAGAUGCCGCGGCAGCGAAGAACUUUUCAGUCCUCCGUAUAGGAUCCGGGGCGAUAAAAUGAGUAGCCUGGUAAGACCAGUUGUGGGAGUCUCUGCAGAGCCGCCCCUUCAUGCGCUUGAUAACCUUCUGAAACUCUUUCCUUUGUAGACGGUGCCCACUCAAGAUGAACCACGAAGGCUCGGAAAUGCACUCCGGAUGCUGGUGAUUCUGAAGCUGACCAGUAGCUGCCUCGUCAGCUCUCCUGGUGCUCUCACCUGACUUCCCACCGAAUUUAUCCGUCUUACUGUUUAUAGAAGUGUCUUCUACGGACUUGUUUUCCUUCCCCUUGUCAUUGGACCCGUGCAUCGCAGCUGCCGGCAUGUUCUUGGCACUGGGGGCUGCACCAGGACGAUGAUGAGCCUUUUUCAUCUUCCCCCUCGCUACGGUAUUGACAGAUGCUCCCUUGAGCGCAGGCCCUUCUACUUCCAUUGAUUUGAACUCAUGCGUUUCAUUCUCACCAGAACUUAUCCUGUCGCCUUUACUUGGAGAAUUUUGUGGCUCUUUAAGUGAGCCCUCCAUGGCUACUUCUUUGGAGAUAGUCCCGACCAUUUCAUCACCCUCGUCAUUGGCUUUCUGCCCAUGUUCAGGCUCUUUUUGUUGCUCUCUUCUGCAGGUGGAUAAAUUUGGACUGACUACCUUAUUCGAGUACACAGAGCUUCCAUUUUUGCUCUCUACGCUUGGUUUUCCUGUGCAGGUCAGCUUUUUCUUUGCAACUACCCUCUUGUUUAGAGCUUUCGAAAGCACUCUGCGAUUAGGAUUAGAAGGAUCUGAGAACUUCCCCAUUCCAGAAUCCUUAUUGUCGCCUGAUGAAGACCCCGAGUCCUUUAGCGGCCUGGUUUGCCCAUUUUCACCAGUAUGAAUGUCUGACAAAUCAGACAUUGGAAUAUCCACUUUAUCAUGCUUGAGGUACAAUUCAGAUGUCUUACUUGGAGAUUGCUCUGGUUUCUUGCACUCGGUAGAUACGCCAUCUGCCAUUUGACAAUCAAUGGAUAGUGCACCUAGGUCGUCCACAGUAUUCCUUAUGCACAAUGUAGAACUUGGUGCCCUGCCCAAGUCGCAAUCUUGAUGCAAACGACUCGGACUAGAACCUGAAUGAGAAAGUGCACCGACAGGACUCAAAUCUGUUGAACUCAGAUGAAGGGGCGACAUUAUUGAUCCAGCAUUGUGAAGUGAGUCCGUGACUUUACCAUUUAAACAAACUUUUUCAUUAUCCCUUGAAAAAGGUUCAUGCUCAUUCAAUUUUCUGGAAACUGACGAUUUUGAAAUUAACGGACUCCCAUGCCCAUCAGCCUUUUUUAGAUCAUCAAGUGAAGAGAGGGAUCCACCUUGGUGUGAAGUCUUGACUGAAACUUCAAGUUGUGAGGAGACCGAAGCUGCUGAGUAACUCUCCCAAGCAGAGGUUACUGAAUUUUUAAGUCCCGACUUUAUUGACUUGGGAGAAAAAGUAGGCACCUUCCUCUUUUGAGGCAAUGCAUUACACGGCCCCUCCAUGCGAGACAGUUCUGUCAUGGGCGUUGGGCUCUGAACAUCAGCAGGCCCAACGUUACUUGUCUGUCCUCUCGGAAUUGAUGAUGGAAUGUCGUUUGCCUUUGAACUUCUUUGAGGACUACCCAUUCUCCUUGCUAAAUCUUCCGUAGAUACUAAUUUUCUACGAUUUUUCCCAGAGUAACUCGCAGAACCCGAUUUCAUUUCAGCUGCGUAGGAACGUGAGAAGCUUCUAUUCAAGGAAUCAGGUGACAGUUCAUUGCCUGCAUGAUUGAAAUUGGCUGUAUUGUCUGAUGUGACAGCUGGGUUCUGGAGGUGGGCAUCUUUCGUGAUACUGUCCUUUGUCCCACUGCCAUCUUGAGUGAAUAAUUUUUCGGUGACCUUGCCAUUAUUACGCAUGUUGGAAGCUAUGGCAGAACAUCUCUCGUUGGAUGGAUUAGAUAAUGAUGCGUUGCCUACAAGAACUUCCUCAAGUUUGGAGUGCAGAGCUUCUGAUGGCACAGUAUCUUCUUGCUUGAUGAUAGAUGUCUCCAGAACUCUCAAUGAUGGUUUAGGAC
rnacentral:lncRNA from 1 species